rnacentral:lncRNA from 1 species
UUUUUUUUUUUUUUUUUAUGCUGGUUUGGUAUGGGAUUUGUUAGAUUUAUCCCUUUUUUGGUGUGGGAUUUGUUUAUUUUGAGUUUAGUGGAUAGAUUUUGGGAUUUGAAGUUUGGUUUUGGGAGGUUGUUGGAGGUUGUGUGGAGUAAAUUUUUAGGGUAAUUAUGAGGGGUUACUAAUUUUCACAUAUCAUUGGAUGGGAUGGUGUGUGAGAUUUGUGGGGUUUGAGAAUUUUUAAUUGCCUCAUUAACAACCUAAUCAUUCAAAGCAUUUUGGAGUAGACCAUGUUCAAUGUUUUCUUCCUAUAAUUUUAAGGUUUGACAAUUAAUAGGAAUUGUGAGUUGGCUAAAAUUAGCAUUAUGGUAUUAGACCUAUUGAGUAAUUAUUAUUGUUGUUGUUCAACACAGGGGAGAAAGAAUUGAGUGUGCCCUAUUUAAUGGGUAACGUUACAGACUUACAGCUGUAUUUUUUUUUUUUCAGAGGAGCAGGAUAAAUAAUUCUACUCCACUAUCAAUCAAGAGGCAGCUUAGGUGUUCUGUAACUUCUUCCUGUCCAUCCCUUCAUCCAAUGCAUCAUCAUGCAUGGCAUCCAAAUAAACCAUUGAAUUUUGACCCUAAUGUUUUUUCAUUUUUCUCAGAUAUUAAUCCAGUUGAAAUAUGUUUGGAUAGCAGAUUAUUUGAAAUAAUUACUGUAGUAUUUUUUGUGAUGUGAUGUGAUGUAUGUGAGAUAAAAAGAUAAUUGUGAAGAUAAAAAGAUGUAUUGAAAAUUGUAUUUGUGAUGUAAACAAAUAAUUUUUAGCCAUUAUUUGGCUAUCCAAACAAAUAAUAUGUCUUUUUUUUUUUGUCUGUUUUCGGUUGAAGGAAGAAUAAUCCUAGUAAUUAUAUGUAAAAGUUUCAAAAAUUUCCCAUCAAAUUAACAAUGAAACAUAACUAGAAUCGAUCGUCUCUCAAACACGAAAAUAAAAAUUAAAAAAAAAUGAGGGGAAAUAGAACUAGGAUUUGAAGGCAAUGACAUUUAAAAAAAAUUGGUGAUAUAUAAUGCUUUUCAUGUCCCAUAUUAUCUAAGUUGAUGGCGAUAAGAAAAUCUGAGAUAUGAUCCUUAUGCAACGACCGAUUUUGAUAAUGUCACCCUGAUUCUCGUAACUAUAAUAGUUACAUUAAUGAUAAAAUGUGCCAUAAUUAUUUUUUUUAUCAUUCAUGAUUGAGAGACCUAACUCCAUUAGAACUUCAUAGCCAAACAUCUUAAGAUACAACGCAGUAAUUCAUUCUAGAAAAAGCAAAACCAUAAGAAACCAUCAAUUUAUGAAAAGUUGAAAAUAUAAAGAAUUAGUUCUCGAAUUCAGUGAAAAGAAUCAAGUAUUGCACAUGAUAACUGGAUACUAAUAAUACUAUAGUAAAUCACAGCUAGUCAUAAGUCAUUUCAUGGCCAAGAAUAACAUGUGCAUGUAUGUGCCUACUUAUAUUCUAUACUAUAUGGCUCGACAUUAGUAUAGCAUGUGGGUGUAUAAGUGGAUAUUAUUAUAGUGUGUAUGUAUAUAUAUGUGUGUGCGCGUGUUUUAGCGUGUAUUCACGUACAACAAAAGUUUAGGGUUUAAAGUUUAUAUCUAUAACAUGUUUUAAGGUGAGAGUCGAAUAUCAAGUACAAGACGCUCAACCACUAACUUCAUUUCCCAUUUAUCUAUAAUUGAAAAAGAAAUCAAAUUUGUAACGCCAGUCAUAUAUAUAUAUAUAUAUAUACAUAUAUGUAGUACAUAACAAUAAUUACACAAUAACACAUUUUGGAAUUCAUUUUUGCAAUGGCCAGCAAUAUGUGAAGAGGGCAACUGCCGAUGUUUUUAUAUUUUUGUCUUUUCCUUUUACAAAGGGCUAGUAAGCCAGCAAUAUGUGUUACUUAUGGAUUCAAUUUUCUUGCUUCCUUCUUUUUCACCUUACUAAAGGAGAAAAGAAAAUCUACACCAAGUCUAUGAGUAUAAGUUGGUGUAAAAUGACAAUAAUAUCAAGCUUAAUAUGUAAUAUAUAUCACGGUCAUAACUCGGUAAAAAGAAGCAUAAAAUUUGGUUCUUUUGAUAAGAACAAAAGAAUGAAGGUUAAUAAUGAUUUCAUCUUUUCAUAUAUCAUUUUCAGCCAAGAUUCAUCCUACCUAUUACUAUUGCCUUAGAAGGAGGCAAAAGGGAAAAUUUUCCAUGUUUUGGCUGUUUGAUGAAACUAGAACAAGCCCAACUAACUAAUAUAAAGUUAAAAAAAAACAAGCACUACUAUCUUCUGGUUACAGAUUAUUUCGAGCAUUAUUUGAGUGCAAAAAAAGGGCAACAAUUAGUUGGAAGGUUAAUUUUCAAGAUACUUCAAUUUUGUAUUGACUUUCAGUGCUCGAAGCAAACCCCCAUUUCUCUUAUAUAUCCUCAUGAUCAUAUCCAUUAGAAACACUACUUCAAAUUUUUAGAUCCCAUAAGAAAUAAUGACAUUAAAGGGUAGAUGAUUAUGGUAGGUUACAAGAAAUAAUAAAAAGAAAAACACAAAUUAAGCAAAAAUCUGUUGCAUUACGUUGACUGAUCAUCCAUCCUUAUAACUUCUGCAUGUCAUUUACGUUAGGGCGAAUAUAUAGUACAACUCAAAACUAAGAACCGAAACAUGCACGCACGGGAACUUUCACUAGUGUUUCGUAAAAUAUAUAAAUCUCUAAAUACGUUUCUUCAAGCAUUGCUACAAGCAAAAACUCAUACUCAGGCUGCAAAAGAAAACGUCAUUUUUCUUAAAGAUAACGUUAUUUUACUCUAGUAUCAUGUUUUACUCCAAAAAAGCUACACAUUAUCCUGCUAUUCUCAAAUAAAAAUACUACAAAUAGCAGCUGAUGAGUACGAGGGAGAAGAGAAGUAUAAUGGAUUGGAACUAACAAAAUCAAUGGGAAAGAAUUGCAUGCUUUCACUAUUAUCUUUCUUGAGAAUCAAAACAAAGAAAGGCUUUUUCUUUUUCUGGCUUGGAAUAUUUUGAUGAGGAAUAUAAUUCUCAUAAGAAGCGGACUUUCGACAGUACUGUUGAUAUGGACAGCAAGACUUUUGAUCUUUUCCCUCUGCAUGAUUGAUAAUUAAUAUGUUUUCUUCCUUUCCACCGGCUUGCUGCAUUCAUUUUUUCUUUCUCUGGAAACCCGAAAUUUUGGACUUGGGUUUUUCCUUCAAAACAUGGCCCUUAUCUUCUUUCUCUGCAUUUGAUCAGUUUGAGGUGGGGGUGGGUCGGGUGAGAUUUGGAGGUGAAUUAAUGGUAGAGAGGAAAGGAGACAAAAUCAUGUGAGAGUUGGGGUUGUCACACUUUAGUGUGUGGUAAUACUUGAAAGGAAGGCAAAAGCCCCCUUUCAAGAACUCUUUUAUUUCUAGUGUCUUAUGUCCCAAUUUUGGUUAGGCUACUGCUAGCAUCAUGUGAUGAAUGUGUACGUGCAGAUUAUUGGUUAGAAAAACAGCACUAGACUGCUAGACUUGACCAAACUAGCUAGUGCUAGUUCCCUUCAGCUCAAAGCUCAUUGUCACCUUGUAAGUAAAAUGGAGUGAUCUCCAAGAUACUCUAAAAAAAGUUUUGCCACCCCAAAUUCCUCACUAGCUACCAUACGCCUUAUAAUAAUUCUAUUGUUGUCAUCUAUGGAUUAUUAAUUAGGACUAAAAGUCCAAGCAGUAAAGCAUCUCCUUGGUCCUCUGCAGUAUGUAAUAUAGGGAUUGAGAUCCUCUGCAGUCAAUGACUAUAUGGGGUGUUUUGAAAUUGGACUAUAUUUGUCAUGUCAGUGUUAUAUCACUUUGUUUGUUUUAUUUUUUGUGAUAUUGGUGACGGUAGAAACCACACCUUUGACGUAUUAAUAUCUAUCCUUAGCUCCUACUACGUAAAUCAUAGCAAAUGCUGAGUAUAAAACAAUAGAAAUCUGCUUGUGCUCUUGUACUAAAAUAGUAGGAUAAAUUCCUAGAGCAGGAACUGACAGUUUGUUGGGUAUCCUAUUUUACAAGAAAAGUUAAAUCUGCGGUCGAUGUGCAAAACACUAGAAAAAUAUGAAAUACUAACAUGAAUGAGACGGCCACCGUCUGCUACAUGUGACUAUCUGAAGCGGAAGGUAAGGGAACCAUGCCUUUCCUAGCAGUUUCUUUUAUAAGUCAGCAUCAUGUUCCCUGCUUUUCUACUUAAUAAAACCCACGCAAGCAAGAUUGAUAGAUAAAUGAACUUUACAGAUCUGAAAAGCAUGAAGACAAGCUCAUAGAAAAAGAUGGAUUUGUUGUUGUUAUUGUCGGUUCCCAGAUUUUCAGCUCCUCUUCAGGUUCCUAAAUGCACAUUGUCAAAAAUUCCAUAAACAAUGUGAGAAAAGACUGGAACUUCUUGAAGCCAAAUUCUGCACUCUUUGUUUUCUUCUGUUUGCUUGUUUUAAGGUGCAAACAAACUUAUGACAUAGUCAUGGAAAGGUAAAAGAAAAGUCUGAAAGUUCAACAAGCGCAGGGGGCUUGGAUGCCUACUUUAACCUACUUAACGUAAGGAAAAUGAAUUCUGCCUUCUCCGCGAAAGACUCUAUGCAUUUGAUUAAAGCCAGCUAAGUUUGUCUGGUUUCCAGAAGGUAUAGUUAUUGCAUUCAACCAGUAUCACGGUCUGUCUUUGAAAGGACUCGGGGCUUCUCUUGCUGGCAAAUGCAUUCAAAGUCAAUACUCUCAAGUUUCCUUGUCUAGCAGCCUGGCAGCUCACAAAGAGCCCAUCAUCAGCCUACCAAACUUUUUAAGAAGUUGCAGACUGAUUGCCAUGUAGCAUGCUGCGGGAAUCUACUUUCUUCCAACUGUUUUCUACACGGCUUUAACUCUAUCUGCAUGUCCCACGUUCUUUUUAGUGUCCAUUCGUGCAAAAUACAAAGUUUUCACUUUCCCACCGCGCGAGACUCUGACCAAGUAAAUAUAAUACGGAUAUCCAAUGUGAAACUAUCAAUUUUAAUGACUUUCAUUCAAAUGCAGAGCCAACAAAAAGGGAUCUUUCCAUGUAAUAAGUUGCUAGAGAUACACACGCGUUUACCAAGAAUUUGAGUUAAACCAGUACACAGAUUUUAAUCUAUCCAUGGCUUCAGCAAAACAACUUGACUUCCUGACCCAUGUUGAACACUCUCACUAAGAUAAGGGGCAGCAAGCAUCCAACAUCUCCUGCACAAAGAGACUGGAAACUCCAUUCUUGUAGCAGCCCUCUAAAAUUGUUCACA